AUGCAAGUCGAACGAGACGAUUGAAAGCUUGCUUUUGAAAGUCGAGUGGCAAACGGGUGAGUAACGCGUAGACAACCUGCCGUAAAGAUGGGGACAACAGUCCGAAAGGACUGCUAAUACCGAAUGUUGUAAAUCUUCCGCAUGGAAGACUUACUAAAGGUGGCCUCUACUUGUAAGCUAUCGCUUUACGAUGGGUCUGCGUCUGAUUAGCUGGUUGGUGGGGUAACGGCCUACCAAGGCGACGAUCAGUAGCCGGUCUGAGAGGAUGAACGGCCACAUUGGAACUGAGACACGGUCCAGACUCCUACGGGAGGCAGCAGUGGGAAUCUUCCGCAAUGGGCGCAAGCCUGACGGAGCAACGCCGCGUGAGUGAAGAAGGGUUUCGACUCGUAAAGCUCUGUUGUCGGGGACGAACGUGGAGACGGCAAAUAGUCGUUUCCAAUGACGGUACCUGACGAGGAAGCCACGGCUAACUACGUGCCAGCAGCCGCGGUAAUACGUAGGUGGCGAGCGUUGUCCGGAAUUAUUGGGCGUAAAGGGAGCGCAGGCGGGAAGGUAAGUCUAUCUUAAAAGUGCGGGGCUCAACCCCGUGAGGGGAUGGAAACUAUCUUUCUUGAGUGCAGGAGAGGAAAGCGGAAUUCCUAGUGUAGCGGUGAAAUGCGUAGAUAUUAGGAGGAACACCAGUGGCGAAGGCGGCUUUCUGGACUGUAACUGACGCUGAGGCUCGAAAGCGUGGGGAGCGAACAGGAUUAGAUACCCUGGUAGUCCACGCCGUAAACGAUGAAUGCUAGGUGUAGGAGGUAUCGACCCCUUCUGUGCCGGAGUUAACGCAAUAAGCAUUCCGCCUGGGGAGUACGGCCGCAAGGCUGAAACUCAAAGGAAUUGACGGGGGCCCGCACAAGCGGUGGAGUAUGUGGUUUAAUUCGACGCAACGCGAAGAACCUUACCAGGGCUUGACAUUGAGUGAAAGGACAAGAGAUUGUCCCCUCUCUUCGGAGACACGAAAACAGGUGGUGCAUGGCUGUCGUCAGCUCGUGUCGUGAGAUGUUGGGUUAAGUCCCGCAACGAGCGCAACCCUUAUCCUUUGUUGCCAGCACGUUAUGGUGGGAACUCAAAGGAGACUGCCGCGGACAACGCGGAGGAAGGCGGGGAUGACGUCAAGUCAUCGUGCCCCUUAUGUCCUGGGCUACGCACGUACUACAAUGGGAUGGACAGAGAGCAGCGAAGCCGCGAGGCCAAGCGAACCCCAUAAACCAUCUCCCAGUUCGGAUUGCAGGCUGCAACCCGCCUGCAUGAAGUUGGAAUCGCUAGUAAUCGCAGGUCAGCAUACUGCGGUGAAUACGUUCCCGGGCCUUGUACACACCGCCCGUC
rnacentral:rRNA from 1 species